rnacentral:lncRNA from 1 species
AUUUAACCUUUCCACACAAAUACUGUCAAUCUGAUUUUUUAGGCAAUGUGCACCCUCAGCUGACUUACUUCUUCCUCCUCCCAGUCUCCAGAUGGAAAAAUGAUCCAGAACUUUCAUGUUUUUUGUUUUUUGGUUUGUUGUUUGAUUUUUUUUACACAAUUGCAGGGGUUGAAUUACACAUUUUGUUCUAAAGCUACCUGGCAUCCUCUUCAUCAGCUACUGAGCUGAAAUAAAACUCUAGCUGCUUCUCUAGUGGAAGGGGCCUUUCUAUUAAGAAAAAAACAAAACUUGGCCUGGACCCAAAAGUUUAGAACUAGAAUUCCUGAAAAAGCUCCCAUUAACAUUGACACCAACUGCUUGAGCCAUGGAUGUACUGGAGAGAGCAGAGCAAUGGGCCAUAAAGAUGAUUAAGGAACUGGAGCAGCCCUCCCAUGAAGACAAUCAGAGCUGGCACUGUUCAGGCUGGAGAAGGCUCAGGGGGAUCCCAUCAGUGUAUAUAAAUACCUGCAGGGAGGGUGCAAAGAGGACAGAGCCAGGCUCUGCUCAGUGAUGCCCAGUGACAGUGACAGGGCUGGAGGCAACGAGCACGACCUGGAACACAAGAGUUACCUCUGAACAUCAGGGAACUGUUUGUCACUGGCACAGGCUGCCCAGAGAGGUUGUGGAGUCUCCAUCCUUGGAGAUACUCAAAAGGUUCCUAGACACAACUCGGCAACUGGCUCUAGGUUAUGCUGCUUCGAGGCAGAAUGUUGCACCAAAUUACCUCCAAAGGUCCCUUCCAGGCGUAGGCAGCCUGGGACUGUGUGACAGUGUGACAGACCAUGGCACUUCUUCACAUCCCAUCCAUUGGAGAGAUCUUUCCUGCUGCCUUUUUUUUUUUUUUUUAUUCUGGAUAUUCACCACUAGGCCCAAGGAAUCUCUGGACACAGCAGGAGAAUGAAGAAGACAGUGCCUGGAUUUGCCACUCAUCCUCUUAUAUCUGAUUCAUUGGGUGCAGAUGAGGAGAUGACAAACUGUUCUAACAGAUGCAGCAAUCCAUCCUUACACUAAUAAAGAAUCCCAUCCCUCACUCUUUGCA